UCGAAGGUGGGAUCGGCGAUUGGGACGAAGUCGUAACAAGGUAGCCGUACCGGAAGGUGCGGCUGGAUCACCUCCUUUCUAA
rnacentral:rRNA from 1 species